rnacentral:rRNA from 1 species
CGUAAAGGGUGUGUAGGCGUUCCGGUAAGUUCCGGUUGAAAUCCUUCAGCUCAACUGAAGAAUUGGUCGGAAAACUCCCGGAAUUGAGUAGCGGAGAGGAGAGUGGAAUUCCUGGUGUAAGGGUGAAAUCUGUAGAUAUCAGGAGGAACACCGGUGGCGAAGGCGGCUCUCUGGCCGCUUACUGACGCUGAAACACGAAAGCCAGGGGAGCAAACAGGAUUAGAUACCCUGGUAGUCCUGGCCGUAAACGAUGGGCACUGGGUGUAUCCGUGUAAACGGGUGUGCUGAAGCUAACGCGUUAAGUGCCCCGCCUGGGGAGUAUGACCGCAAGGUUGAAACUCAAAGGAAUUGACGGGGGCCCGCACAAGCGGUGGAGCAUGUGGUUUAAUUCGAUACUACGCGAGGAACCUUACCAGGGCUUGACAUGCAGGAAGUAGGAACCUGAAAGGGGGACGACCCGUUAAGUCGGGAACCUGCACAGGUGCUGCAUGGCUGUCGUCAGCUCGUGUCGUGAGAUGUUGGGUUAAGUCCCGCAACGAGCGCAACCCUUAUCCUUAGUUGCUACCCGCAAGGGGCACUCUAAGGAGACUGCCUCGGGUUAACGAGGAGGAAGGUGGGGAUGACGUCAAGUCAGUACGGCCUUUAUGCCCUGGGCCACACACGUGCUACAAUGGGGUGUACAAAGAGACGCAAAGCCGUGAGGCGAAGCAAAUCUCAAAAAUCGCCUCUCAGUUCGGAUUGAAGGCUGCAAUUC